CACGUGUUGCUGUUUGGUUUACUGAAAUUGAUUAUAAUCUUGUUAAUCUUGAUAUUUACAGCUAGACUUAUUAAUGCUCAUUCCAGUUAAUCGAAUUUUUAUAUCAGGAUGUGGAAGAGGUUUUAAUUAUUCGUUUAGAUGUUUUGAAAGGAAAUAUCGAACUGUUUUAGGUAUCGAAACUAGUUGCGAUGAUACAGGUGCUGCAAUUGUUGACGAAUUUGGUAACAUCAUUUCAGAUGUUCUUCGCUCACAGCAACAAUUUCACCUUGACAAUGGAGGAGUUAUACCACGAUUAGCCAAAUCUCUUCAUCAAGACCAAAUAGAAUAUGUAAUUACUAAUACAUUAAAGAAAAGUGGCAUGAGUUUGCAAGAUAUAUCUGCAAUUGCCACUACAGUGAAGCCUGGAUUAUUGCAUUCUUUAUUAGUUGGUUUUAAUUAUAGUAAAAUUCUUGUUAAUGAGAGUGAAAAACCAUUUAUACCUAUACAUCAUAUGGAAGCUCAUGCUUUAGUUGUCAGAAUGACUGAAUUAAUACAGUUUCCUUUCCUCGUGCUUCUUGCUUCAGGAGGUCACUGUCAAAUUGCUGUCGUUAAAGAAGUUGACAAGUUUUUACUUCUUGGAAAAAACUUAGAUAAUCCGCCGGGUGAAGCUCUUGAUAAGAUUGCAAGACGAUUAAAGCUUAAGAAUCUUCCAGAAUGUUCUUCAAUGUGUGGUGGAAGAGCUAUUGAAUACUUAAGUGAAAGUGGAAAUCCUAAUGCUUACAAUUUCACACUCCCAUUGUAUAAAUUUAGAAGUUGUGACUUUUCUUUUUCUGGAUUAAAAGUACAAGCUUUAAGAGCAAUUAUUAAAGAGGAGGAAGAAAACAAUGUUUUUGCUGAUGGUUUAAUUCCAAAUAUUUCUGAUUUCUGUGCCUCAAUACUUCAUGCUUUUACAAAACAUCUGGUUAGACAAGUUCAGCGGGCCAUGAUAUUCUGUGAAAAAAAAAACUUAAUACCAGAAGACAAAAGAACAUUGGUAUUUUCUGGAGGUGUAGCAUGCAAUGCUUAUAUUAGAGCAGCUUUAAAUAAAUUAUGUGGUCACUCAGGUUGGCAGUUUUCCUGUCCUCCUCCCAAACUAUGCAAUGAUAAUGGUAUCAUGAUUGCUUGGAAUGGAAUGGAACGUUUGAAAGCCGGAAUUGGAAUAACAAAAAGUAUAGAUGAAGUUAAUGUUAUUUCAAAAAAAACUUUAUGAGAAGACCCAAUACAAGGAUUGUUGCAUCUACUUUGUUUAAAACUUAUUCAAGUACACUGGAUGUCCUUUGGGAAAAGAUAUUUCAAAAGAAGUAAUUGAUGAAAAUAUUAAAAUAAAAAGAUUUCAGUUUGGUGA
rnacentral:misc_RNA from 1 species